rnacentral:lncRNA from 10 species
CUCAGGCAAUCCAUCUGUUUUUGUUUUCUGUACCACAUUUCCUUCUCUAUAUUUUUUGCCCUGGGCUUUGAGAUACUGCUUCAACUUGAGCUUUUGGGGAACUAAUUAGUGUUUCAACACAACCCCGAGAGCACAUCACAGUAUGGAGAAAACAUAAGAUCAAAGAAGCAUGCAACACUGAGCUAUCACACGGAGAACACCUGUCUGGGAAGCCACCUAAACUGACAGUGGACUUCUCAAGAGAAAGAAAUAAACUUUCUUGUUUUAGGACACUGAGAUUUUGGAGGUGUCUGUGCAGCAUAAUCUAUCCUAUCCUACUAUAUUCAACUCACAACUCCUUAUGCUCCAGGCCUACUUCUGUCUUUGAUUUCAUAUUAAAUUAAUUCCAACUUCCUCUUCUCUUAGAGCUAUAAUUUCAGUUAUAUAUGGCUGCAUAACAAACCACUCCAAAGCUUAAAACAACAAUAAAUUAUUAUUUCUCAUAAUUCUGUAUAACAAUAACAAGCAAAGUCAAGUCACCCAUAUUUUACAAAGUAGACUGGAGCUCAGAAAUCUAGACAUCUCAAAUCACACAACUAGUAAAUGGGAGAAGUGAAACUGGAACUCAUGUCUUACUACUGCAGGCCCUGUGUUUUUCAUUUUUUUUUUUUUUGGUUUGUUUUUUGCUAUUAAUGUAUCACAGUUACUUUGGCCAG